GACGAACGCUGGCGGCGUGCUUAACACAUGCAAGUCGAACGGAAAGGCCCUGCUUUUGUGGGGUGCUCGAGUGGCGAACGGGUGAGUAACACGUGAGUAACCUGCCCUUGACUUUGGGAUAACUUCAGGAAACUGGGGCUAAUACCGGAUAGGAGCUACUGCUGCAUGGUGGGGGUUGGAAAGUUUCGGCGGUUGGGGAUGGAUUCGCGGCUUAUCAGCUUGUUGGUGGGGUAGUGGCUUACCAAGGCUUUGACGGGUAGCCGGCCUGGGAGGGUGACCGGCGACCAUGGGACUGCGAUACGGCCCAGACUCCUACGGGACGCAGAAGUGGGGAAUAUUGCACAAUGGGCGGAAGCCUGAUGCAGCAACGCCGCGUGCGGGAUGACGGCCUUCGGGUUGUAAACCGCUUUCUCCUGUGACGAAGCGUGAGUGACGGUAAUGGGUAAAGAAGCACCGGCUAACUACGUG
rnacentral:rRNA from 1 species